rnacentral:lncRNA from 1 species
UUACAGGCAUGAGCCACUGUGCCCGGCCCCAUAAUGUUGUUUUUUUAAAGAGUGUCCCCAAUAUUGUAUAAGCUUCAGGUCCCAUAAAACCUGGACCUGCCUUAAUCUAAAUAAUCAGAUAUUUGACUGAUGAAUUUUCCUUUCUUCUCUGAUAGUUCUAUCUUUCCUGUGAUAAGAUACAAUUUUCCUGUCUCCAUGUUCUCAUAUUUUUACACAGUAAUCCUAUUUGUGAAAUUACCAUUACUUAUUGAUUAGCCUUACACUGGUUAAUGUUACCCUUCAUGUGGAAAGAACUAUUUCCUGCUCAUUUAGUUUCAAAGAUGUGAACUUCAGUUAUGUGUCCCACAGCAAAGUAAUCCUAAAAUCUUAGUAAUUUCAGCCUUGUAAGCCUUUGACUUCACACUCUUGUAUUUUAAUGGCUUUGAUGUCUUCUUACUAUUCUCUAGCAGAAUAAUUUCCUGUGUCUCAGAUGUCUUUACUGCUACUUUAGUUCACUUGCAACUUCAGUCUAAUCAUUUUGAACACUCUUUUAGCUUUUAUUUCCAUCUGUUUUCAUCUUCUUUCCAAAUAUUUUAUUUUCCUAAUAAACUACAUAUUUAAUGAACUCAAUUCCAAGAUUCUAGUUAAAAGCUCAGAGGUCAAAACAGGUUAAAAAACCAGUCUCAAUUUAGACUUGUCAGUCAAACACCACUUAAUAUACUUUCCUCUGCAUGCUUGAAAUAGUUUCAUGGAAGGGAAACGAAUUUUACAAGCUACUAGGUUUUUUCAUUUGAGAGUAGCAGAAAGUCUUCAACAUCAUUUAGGAAUGAAAUUAAUCUACCAUAUACAGAUGUUAAAUCAAACCAUCAAAAACUUGGCAUUUGCAUUCUUUUAUUGUUUUCUAAGUACUUUGUGCCCAGUGCUGUGUUAGAUGCUAUAGUAGAUAUUAAAGAGAUGAUAAGAUAGUAUUUCCUUUCCAGAGAUUAUGGCCCAAUUAGGAUAUGCAGUAUGCACAUAUGGAGGCUGGGCGCUGUGGCGCUCACCUGUAAUCCCAGCACUUUGGGAGGCAGAAGUGGGAGGAUUGCUUGAGGCCAGGAGUUUAAGACCAGCCUGGGCAACAUAGGGAGACCUUGUCCCUACAAAAAAAAAAAAAAAAAAAAUUUAGCCAGGUAUGGUGUGCAUGCCCAUAAUCCCAGCUACUGGUGAGGCUAAGGCAGGGGAAUUGCUUGAGCCCAGGAGUUUGAGGCUAUAGUGAGCUAUGAUCGAGCCACUGCAUUUCAGCGUGGGUGACAGAGUGAGACCCUGUCUCUAAAAAUAAAAACUAAACAACCAAAUUAAAAAAAAAAACAAAUGAAGUAACUAAAAAUGAUAUAAUCUAAUGUCAAAGCAAGCAGGAAGAAGACAAGUUACUUAUGGACUAGAGCCUUAUGAAAAAUAAAUUUAGAUUAAUAAACAGUAUUGGAAAUUAUUUCAGAAAUAAAUGAGCAAAUAAUACAAUGUUUGAUAUCAAACUUAGCAAUAGUAUUGACAACUUAUUCAUCUUUCAAAGUCCAGCUUAAAAUGCUGUUAUACCCAGAAACUUUCCCAGUCUGCCUAGUCAGAAUGAAUCACUUCACUCUCUGCAGUUUCUUAGCCCUCUGUAUUGCUCUUGAAGCACUUGCCAAACUCACAUAUACACAAUUCACCAUAACAGAGGACACACUUCUUUUAAAUUAAUUACAGAACUACUAUAUGGUGCUUGAUUCAUCUUUAAAUCUUGAUCCUAUCCAUGACCUUGCAGUGAUAAACCAAAUAAUGGGUACACUCAUAUUGUGUAAUAAACAGACUCUUUUAGUUGCAAGUGUCUGAAACCCAAAAUAGAAGUGUAACCAAAAAUUAAAUGUGCUGGCUCAUAUAACUGAGAAGUCCAAGAGUGGGUUUGGCAUUAUAUAUGCCUUGAUCAGCAUGCUCAAACAAUACAAUUUGUGUUCUGUCUCUUCCCUCCCUCUUUUAAAUAUACCUUCCAGUGUAUAUUCUUCAUUAAAAUACAUAUGACUGAUUGUUUUGAUAGCUCAUGAAUCCUGUAGAAGUUUUAUCUUUCACAGGUCCAUAAAUCAUCUCAGGAAUGGAUUCUGAUUGACUCAGCUGGGGUCAUAGUUUUGGGAGAAUGGGUGGGAUAUGAUGAUUGACCAGGUCUGGGUCCUUUUUCCCAUUUGUAGCAAGGGGUAGAGUGAAGAGGAUGGUUACUAGGGUUGAAAAAACCACAUGGGUUAGGGAAAGGACAGCUGGGCUGACCAAAAUAAAAGAUAUCUACUUUGUGUGAGUGUGUGUGUGUGUGUGUGUGUGUGUGUGUGAGAGAGAGAGAGAGAGAGAGAGAGAAAGAGAGACAGACAAAGUCUCACUCUGUUGCCCAAGCUGGACUGCACUGGCAGGGUCACAGCUCAGUGCAGACUUGACCUCCUGGGCUUAAGCCGUCUUCCCACCUCAGUCUCCCAAGUAGCUAGUACUACAGGUGUGUGGCACCACAUCCGGCUAAUUUUUUUUUAACAAUUUUUUUGUAGAGAUGAGGUCUCGCUAUUUUGCCUAGACUGGUCUCAAAAUCCCAGCUUCAAGUGAUCCUUCCACCUUGGCUGCUAAAGUGCUGGGAUUACAGGAGUAAACCAGCGUGCCUGGCUGAUGUCUACUCUAGAACGUGUCAUCCAAGACUGUAUUUUUUCCAAAUUGGAGAGGGUGAUUUAACUUUUACCAAUUUGAAGGAAAUUCUGUUAUGCAAUGCAAGGCCAUCCUGGAAGACUGCAAGCAAGAAAAAAAAGGUGGAAGCCACAGCAAGGUGCUGGUCCAGAGGAACCAUCUGGUCUUCAGAAAUGCAGAAUCCUGAGAAGACAUCUCAAAAGGCCAGUCUUCAGUUCUACAAUAGUGAUGUUAUUUACAGAAAUAAUUGGGGAAGUUGUAAAAUCUUGUGACCUCUGAAAUAAUGGCUGGUAAUCAUUUAAUUAUGCCUACAUCUUAAGAGAAUUCAGGCCCCUCUCAUCCUCCUAACCUAAUGGACUUUCAUUAGUUUUACUAGGUGGUUUAGUUUUGGGGAAAGGCUAUUUUCAUUUAAACUACAAACUAAAUUUCUCUCAAAGUUAGCUUAGCACAAAUCCAGGAAUGACCAAGAGCAGUUUGGGGGUUAAAGGCGAGAUGAGGGUUGGUUAGAUCACAUCUCUUUCAUUGUCAUAAUCUUCUCACUGUUAGAAGUUUUGCAAAGGCGAUUUCAUUUCUGGAAUGUCAUAUAAACGGAAUCAUAGCAUAUAGCUGUUUUAUCCUAGAUUGUUUUGCAUAGCAUUGUGUAUUUGAUAUUUAUCUAUAUUGAAUUACUAUUAGGUUGGUGCAAAAGUAGUUGCAGUUUUUGCCAUUACUUAUAAUUACUUAUAUGUAAUUACUUUUACACCAACCUAUCAACAGUUCAUUUUUUAUGUAUUUUUUACUAAUAUUUAAUUCUGUAGCUGUAUUUUAAUUUAUUAUCCUCUAGUUAAUGACAAUUGAGAUUAUUUCCAAUUUUGGCAAUAAAGCUAUUAGAAAAAAAUAUGCAUAGUUUUUCUGUGAAUACAGUUGCCCUUCAUUUCCAUGAGUUUUGAAUUCAUGGAUUCACACAACCACAGACUGAAAAUAUAACAAAAAGUAAACAAAAAAUAAAACAAUUUAAAAAUGCAAAUAAAAAAGCAAAGUAUAAUGACAAUGUACAUAGCAUUUACAUUGUAUUAGGUAUUAUAAUCUAAUCUAGGCAACCAGGCAAUGGCAGUAUUAUAAUCUAAUCAUCUGGGGAAUCUAGAGAUGAUUUAAAGUAUACAAAAGGAUGUGUGUAGGUUAUAUUUAAACCUUAGACCAUUUUCUAUGAGGUACUUGAGUACCUGUGGAUUUUGGCAUCUGAGGGGGUCCUGAAACCAAUUCUCCAUCAAUACCAAAGGAUAACUACAUAUGUUUCUAUUUCUCUUGAGUAAAUCCUAGAAGUGAGAUUUCUGGGUCAUAUGAUAAGUAAAUCUUUAACUCUAUAAGAAAUCUCCAAACUGUUUUCCAAAGUAUCCAUUCCGCAUUUCCAUUAGCAAUGUAUGAGAGUCACAUAUGUGGUGUAUCUUUGCAGGCACUUUAUAGUCAGUGUCUUUUAAUUGAAACCAUUCUAACAGGAGUUUAGUUGUAACAUAUUGUGGCUGUAAUUUGCAUUUCUCUAUUGAAUAAUGAUGUUCAGCAUCUUUUCAUGUGCUUAUUUACCCAUUUAUCAUUUUUGGGGAAGUGCUUAUAUAAAUCUUUUGCUCAUUUUUAUUGGGUUAUUUGUUUUCUUAUUGCUGAGUUGUAAAAUUUCUGAAUGUAUGUUAUGGAUACCAGUCCUUUAUCAGACAUCUGUUUUGCAAAUAUUUUUCCAGAGUCUGCAACCUUUUUAUUUUCUUAACAUUAUCCUUCAAAGAGCAGACAUUUUUAAUUUUGAUGAAGCCCAAUUUAUCUAUUUUUUCUGUUGUAGUUUGUGCUUUCUUGUUUUAUCUAAGAAAUAUUUGCCUCACUCAAUGUUCCAAAUAAUUUUUGUUUUCUUCUAGAAAUUUUAUAAGUUCAGUCUUUACAUAUAGGUCUACAACCCAUUUUGAGUUAAUUUUUUAAUGUAACGAUGGAUAAGGGUCAAGGAUUACCAUUGUGGAUAUGGAUAUUCAAUUUUUCAAGAAGAAAAAUCUUUCUCCUAUGAAUUGCCUUGGUAUGCUUGUCAAUUGACCAUAUUAUGUGUGGGUGUAUUUCUAGAUUCUCUUCUUUUCUUUUGAUCUAUAUAUCUAUUACCAUGUAAAUAACAAGUUGUCUUAAUAACAGUGGCUUCAAAGUAAGUCAGGUAGUGUGAUUUCUGUAACUUGGUUUUUUGUGUUUUAACUAUUCCAGUUCCAUGAGAUUUCCAUGUAAAUUUCAGAAUCAGCAUAUUGAUUUCUGUAAAAUAAAAGCCUGCUGGAAUUUUAGGAUUUCAUUGAAUCUGUAGGUAAAUUAAGGGAGAAUUGACAUAAUAACAAUAUCGAGUCUUCCAAUUUUUUAAAAAUGUAAAUCAUCUAGGAAAGGGUUUGAGCAUUCUAAUGCAGGGGUUCCCAGCUCCCGGAACACAGACCAGUACUGGUCCUAACGGAACUGGGCUGCACAGCAGGUGAGCUGUGGGCAAGUGAGCGUUACUGUCUCCAGUUCAGAUCAGCAAUGGCAUUAGAUUAUCACAGGAGUACAAACCCUGUGGUGAACUGUGCAUGCGAGGGAUCUAGGUUGUGUGGUCUUUAUGAGAAUCUAACUAAUACCUGAUGAUCUGAGGUACAGCAGUUUCAUCCCAAAACCAUCCCUCCCCACCCACCCUGUGGAAAAAAUUGUCUUCCAUAAAACCAGUCCCUGGUGCCAAAAAAGUUGGGGACUGCUGUUCUAAUACAUGAGCACAGUAUGCUUCUUUAUUUCUUAGGCAUUUUGUGUUUCUCUCAUCAGUGCUGUAUAGUUUUUAAUAAAUCUUGUACAUACUUUGUUAGAUUUAUCCCUAUCUCCCAUUGUGGUGCUAUUGUAAAUAAUACUUUAAAAUUUUCAAUUUCUAAUUGUUUACUGCAAAUAUAUAGAAAGGUCAUUGAUUUCUGUAUAUUGCCCUUGUGUUCUGCAACUUCACUAAAGUCAAUUAUUAGUUCCAGCAGCUUUAUUGGAGAUUUCUUGUCUUUGUGAUUUCUUUACAGAGACAAUUAGGUCGUCUGUGAAUAAAGACUAUUUCAUUUAUCUUUUUCAAUUAUAUAUGCAUUUUAAAAAAUUUAUUAUAUAUCUUCUAUACUAUGUUGAAAGGAAUGAUGAGAAUGACAUUCUUACCUCAUUUCUGAUUUCAGGGGAAAGCAUUCCAUCUGUUACCAUUAUGUAUGGAAUGUGUUUAUAGAUUUUUCAUACAUACCCUUUAUAAGGUUGAGAGUGUUCCCUUUAAUUCCUACUUUGGUUAGGGUUUUUUCAUGUUUUGUUUUGCUUUUUAAACCAUGAAUAAAUGUUAAAUUUUGUCAAAUGUCUUUUGUGCCUCAACUGAGAUGAUCAUAUGGUUUUUUUCUCCAUUAGUCUAUUAAUACGGUGAAUUAAACUUACUGAUUUUCAUAUUGACCCAAUCUUGCUUUCCUAUGAUAAACCGCAUUGUAUCAGGUUCUAUUAUUAUUUGAAUGUAUUUCUUAAUUUAAUUUGCUUUUUUGUUUUUUGAGACGGGGUCUCACCCUGUUGCCCAGGCUUCAGUGCAGUGGCACAAUCUUGACUCACUGCAACUUCUGCCUCCGAGGCUCAAGCAAUUAUCCCAGCCUCCCAAGUAGCUGGGAUUACAGUGCAUACCACCAUGCCUGACUAAUUUUUGUAUUUUUUUCUUUUGUAGAGAUAGGGGUUCAUUGUGUUUCCCAGACAGGUCUUGAACUCCUGGGCUCAAGUGAUCCACCCACCUCUGUCUCCCAAAGUGCUAGG